ACAAGCAGUGGGAGCCCCACCACCAAAGCAUUCUCUGGUGUUGAAGGCCCUGCAAAGCAGCAUCGCGGUGGCGGAGCGUCGUUUGCGACGCCCAACACACAAAACAAGCGGUGAAUGCUUUGGGGUGGGGUGACUGCGUACCUUUUGUAUAAUGGGUCAGCGACUUAUAUUCUGUAGCAAGGUUAACCGAAUAGGGGAGCCGGAGGGAAACCGAGUCUUAAUUGGGCGUUAAGUUGCAGGGUAUAGACCCGAAACCCGGUGAUCUAGCCAUGGGCAGGUUGAAGGUUGGGUAACACUAACUGGAGGACCGAACCGACUAAUGUUGAAAAAUUAGCGGAUGACCUGUGGCUGGGGGUGAAAGGCCAAUCAAACCGGGAGAUAGCUGGUUCUCCCCGAAAGCUAUUUAGGUAGCGCCUCGUGAAUUCAUCUCCGGGGGUAGAGCACUGUUUCGGCUAGGGGGCCAUCCCGGCUUACCAACCCGAUGCAAACUGCGAAUACCGGAGAAUGUUAUCACGGGAGACACACGGCGGGUGCUAACGUCCGUCGUGAAGAGGGAAACAACCCAGACCGCCAGCUAAGGUCCCAAAGUCAUGGUUAAGUGGGAAACGAUGUGGGAAGGCCCAGACAGCCAGGAUGUUGGCUUAGAAGCAGCCAUCAUUUAAAGAAAGCGUAAUAGCUCACUGGUCGAGUCGGCCUGCGCGGAAGAUGUAACGGGGCUAAACCAUGCACCGAAGCUGCGGCAGCGAACGUAUCACCCAAGACAACUUUACGGAGUUGACGAUUGACGGAGCGAAGCGACGUCAAAGCGUUCAUUAAAGUCGAGUUGGCUUAGGGAUACGUUCGUUGGGUAGGGGAGCGUUCUGUAAGCCUGUGAAGGUGUGUCGUGAGGCAUGCUGGAGGUAUCAGAAGUGCGAAUGCUGACAUAAGUAACGAUAAAGCGGGUGAAAAGCCCGCUCGCCGGAAGACCAAGGGUUCCUGUCCAACGUUAAUCGGGGCAGGGUGAGUCGACCCCUAAGGCGAGGCCGAAAGGCGUAGUCGAUGGGAAACGGGUUAAUAUUCCCGUACUUGGUGUUACUGCGAAGGGGGGACGGAGAAGGCUAUGUUGGCCGGGCGACGGUUGUCCCGGUUUAAGCGUGUAGGUGUGUGUUCCAGGUAAAUCCGGUU
rnacentral:rRNA from 1 species